CAGCUCAAAUUUGAAAUCUGGCUCUUUUAGAGUCCGAGUUGUAAUUUGCAGAGGGCGCUUUGGCUUUGGCAGCGGUCCAAGUUCCUUGGAACAGGACGUCACAGAGGGUGAGAAUCCCGUACGUGGUCGCUGGCUAUUGCCGUGUAAAGCCCCUUCGACGAGUCGAGUUGUUUGGGAAUGCAGCUCUAAAUGGGAGGUACAUUUCUUCUAAAGCUAAAUAUUGGCCAGAGACCGAUAGCGCACAAGUAGAGUGAUCGAAAGAUGAAAAGCACUUUGGAAAGAGAGUCAAACAGCACGUGAAAUUGUUGAAAGGGAAGCGCUUGCAGCCAGACUUGCUUACAGUUGCUCAUCCGGGUUUUUACCCGGUGCACUCUUCUGUAGGCAGGCCAGCAUCAGUUUGGGCGGUAGGAUAAAGGUCUCUGUCACGUACCUCCUUUCGGGGAGGCCUUAUAGGGGAGACGACAUACUACCAGCCUGGACUGAGGUCCGCGCAUCUGCUAGGAUGCUGGCGUAAUGGCUGUAAGCGGCCCGUCUUGAAACACGGACCAAGGAGUCUAACAUCUAUGCGAGUGUUUGGGUGUCAAGCCCGAGCGCGUAAUGAAAGUGAACGGAGGUGGGAACCCGCAAGGGUGCACCAUCGACCGAUCCUGAUGUCUUCGGAAGGAUUUGAGUAAGAGCAUGGCUGUUGGGACCCGAAAGAUGGUGAACUAUGCUUGAAUAGGGUGAAG
rnacentral:rRNA from 1 species